rnacentral:rRNA from 1 species
GGAAAACUCACCAGGUCCAGACAUGGGAAGGAUUGACAGAUUGACAGCUCUUUCUUGAUUCUAUGGGUGGUGGUGCAUGGCCGUUCUUAGUUGGUGGAGUGAUCUGUCUGGUUAAUUCCGUUAACGAACGAGACCUUAACCUGCUAAAUAGUCCGGGGAAUCCGCAAGGAUUUUCGUUGGGCUUCUUAGAGGGACUUCGUGUGUCUAACACGAGGAAGAUUGAGGCAAUAA